rnacentral:rRNA from 1 species
GAUGAACGCUGGCGGCGUGCUUAACACAUGCGAGUCGAACGAGAAGUGAAGACGGAACCCUUCGGGCGGAAGGCUUUAUUUCGAGUGGCGGACGGGUGAGUAACGCGUGGGUAACCUGCCUCAUACAGGGGGAUAACAGUUGGAAACGACUGUUAAUACCGCAUAAGACCACAGCACCGCAUGGUGCGGGGGUAAAAACUCCGGUGGUAUGAGAUGGACCCGCGUUCGAUUAGCCAGUUGGCGGGGUAACGGCCCACCAAAGCGACGAUCGAUAGCCGAUCUGAGAGGAUGACCGGCCACAUUGGGACUGAGACACGGCCCAAACUCCUACGGGAGGCAGCAGUGGGGAAUAUUGCACAAUGGGGGAAACCCUGAUGCAGCGACGCCGCGUGAGUGAAGAAGUAUUUCGGUAUGUAAAGCUCUAUCAGCAGGGAAGAAAAUGACGGUACCUGAGUAAGAAGCCCCGGCUAACUACGUG